ACUAUAGGAGCAAAAAAUUUUUAUUUUUAGAUUUAAGGAAAAAGAAAAAAGAAAGGAAGGAUUUAUUUUAAGGGUAAAAUCUUAAAGGUAAAUAAUUUUUUCUUAAGAGAACUUUGAAAGCUCAAAGGUGAAACUAGGAUUAGAUACCCUAUUAUUAUUGAGGAAAAAGAAAUUAGGUAGUAGUAGAAGGCUUGAAACUUAAAGAAUUUGGCGGUAUUUUAAUCUAACCAGAGGAACUUGCGUUUUAAUUCGAAAUUACUCGUUUUAUCUUACUUGAAUUAAGUUUGUAUAUCGUCGUAAAAAUAAAACUUUAAGGUGUAUAUUAAAAAAUAUUUAAUAGAAAAUUACAGAUCAAGGUUCAGCAUAUUUAAGAAUACGUGAGUUACAAUAUUUAGAAAAUAAACGGAUAAUUUUUAUGA
rnacentral:rRNA from 1 species